AGUGAACAUAAUUUGAUAUGGCUGAUGAGAUUUAGUCGAAAUCAAGCAAUAUAUGGAUAUUAGUGGCUCAUACCAGUUGUAAUGGAGAUAUUUGGUGGAGUGCGAGCUUCUAAAAUUGUUCAUUGCUACUUGAAUGCGGAUAAUUUUAGCUUCGAUGGGUCUGAGCGUGCUAAGGAUUAUUGUCAGUGUCAUGCUCACAGAGCUUUUUUUUAUGUUAGUUGUACUCUUGAUGGCAUUCUUCGCAUCUCCUCACCUGGCACUAAUGUUUUGGCCUAUUAUAUAGGUGUGCCAUUUGAUAGACAAGGAACAUUGUAGAGAAAGAAUUGGGGGAGAAAGGCAUUAGCACAAACUCUAUUGGCAAUAUUUGGGCGAAAAUGUAGGCGCCAUGAAAUGAUAUCUGAACUUGUUGAUUGUAAGAGAGGCAAUGCUGGUGAUGAUCGUAAUCUGCCAGGGAAAGAUGCAAGUUGAUGGACACAACUCAACAGACACCAAUCUCUAACAUGCUAUAAAAUCCUUAGCGAAGAAUCGUCACCUCCAACUGUCACAAAUUCGACAGUUUCCAAUAGAAUGCAAAUGGACAGAUGUUGUCUCAAUCUUCCAAUUAAAUCCAUAACGAAUAGUAGUCGCCUCCAAUGCUCCCAAACUUGUCAAUUACCAAGAGGUAAGCCUUGUUUCACAUCCUUAACCAUACUGCAUAUCGAAUUUAUAUUUAUAAAUUCAAGAUUACAAAUUUACUUUUUUGUCAGCUAAAAUUUCCUCCCCUAUAGGCGAGUUUUAAGUCAAUCUACCAACUCCGUUUUUCUAAUUCUCUUUUUUGUUAUGUUUGGCUAUUUAUAGCUGAAAGAUGAAUGACUCCCGAUGGUUCCUGUUUUUUAUUUUAUUUUAGUCUGUGAUUUCUCACGAAUAGUAUUUUUUUCGUUUGGGUUGUUUAUCAUGUGAUUUCACACGACAAGUUCAAUUUAAAUAAUAUUUCUUAGAUGCGUCAUCUCUUUUUAUUUGACAUUUUGCAAAAAGGGAAUUUUCCCAUCGAGUGUUAAUUUCCACACCUUUCUUGCAAUCUAUGUUGUGUUUCUAUUCUCAAUUUCUCUCUAUCAUGUUGCAACAGCUACUUUUCUUGGCAAUGAAACUGAAACUUGCCUUACUUGGAUUAAAGUCCCAAAUUUCAAAAGCAAAUUUUCCUCCAUAAAUAGGAUGUUCCAAAAUAUACCAGUGCAUCAGAAAUAGAUAUACAUGUGUUAUAGGGCCCUCAACUAGUAUAACAACAUGAAAAGGGGAAAUAAACAUAUACGACCAUCUUUGGCCAUUAUGUGAAGUCAUAUCAUUUUGUACUAUCAUGUGAACUUAUAAACAUGUUUUUCUCUUAUUUGUCGUGUGCAUAUAGUGUGGACUUAGGUAUUUAUAAGCAUAACGCAUAAUUGUUUAGCAAUGAAGUUUGACAUUAUGUAAACACGUGGAACAUAAAUGAGAUGUCGUAUAGAUAUGAAUAGGGCAUACCUUUUGCCGUCCAUCUGGAUUGUGAGAGUUGAAGGCAAGACUCUUCCCUAGCAUGAUGUUGUAGGGCUGGAAACAUUUGAGCAUAAGAGAGAUAAGGAUAUAGGAAGAUAUUAUCAUUUUAAAACCUUCGCGUGACCUAUGGAAUAACCGUGGAUACCUUAACUUUCAAAAUGUCACAUCUAUUUAAUUCCUUCUGUUGCAUCUUAAUGGUUAUAAUCAUUUAGUCCUGAAUGGGGUAGAAGUAAGGAAGCUGGCAUCCGUCCGGACUAUGAACCUUCUGAUUGUUAAAUUGAAUUAAAAAUUCCAGAUCAAGCCUGCAAACAUCUGUUUCCCCAU